AAGCACUGCAUUAGGGACUAGGGGUGGGGAUGAUGAAGGCAGGGGCUGCUCCUGUAGCUGAGAUCUGGGGUUGACCUUCGGAGUCAGUGUGAGGAGGUCAGAGCUCAGAGGAGGAAUGCAACUUCUCAGAGAUUUAUAGCCAGCUUGUGACAUAGCAUGGAGUUGGUGGUCUGCUAUUACAGAACCAUGGGAUUAAAAGUUUCAUAUUGGAAGACCAACUGGAGUGUCUCCUUCCUGAGCAUUCAGCCUACAAUCCCAAGGGACUGAGUUGGCUCCAGUGCAGUAUACAUGGAAGUGGUACUUGCUCUUUGGGGCUUGGCCUCAGAACUAUCCUGGAUGGAGGUCAGAGCUUACCGUAUGGUCAGGUCUGUCUUCGCAUAGCCGUCGUACUGUGUGCUCCUCUGCAGUGCAUGCAUAUCCAGUUCAGGACUGCCACAAACCAGGAUUUCUACUUCUUCUGGACGAAGCAGCUAUCAAUAAUCACAAAAACCAUAAUUCAAAAUGAUAGUCUUGCCGGGCAGUGGCGGUGCCCUCCUUUAAUCCCAGCACUCGGGAGGCAGAGGCAGGCGGAUUUCUGAGUUCGAGGCCAGCCUGGUCUACAAAGUGAGUUCCAGGACAGCCAGGGCUGCACAGAGAAACCCUGUCUUGAAAAUCCAAAUUUAAAAAAAUGAUAGUCUUAAAUGAAAUUUGAAGUGUUUUUAUUGCAGAAUCAAAUCAUAGAAAUUAUGACACUGUCUCAGUAAAUAAAAUUACUUUUUUGUUGAAGAAAA
rnacentral:lncRNA from 1 species